UGAUACUGUUUGGCAAGUCCACUCCCAAUAUCAGCAGCACAGGAUCAUCACAUGAAUGCCUUGCAGGGUGAUCAUCAAUCAGACCAAGAACAGCGAAGUCUCUUUUUCCCAUCAAAGAUCUGUUUCAUCUCCUGCAGAGUGAGAGCCAAUACUUGGAUUAGAGAGAUUAUCUGGCUGAGACCAAAAAUUGCAGUAUUCACUCUGCUCAAACAACUUUCUGGAAUGGCUGCAAGUUUUCCAUAAGUCUACACUGAGAGCCUCAUAUUCUAAUGUGCUUCAUUGCAAAGAAGUGUGAAAUGUGUCAGUGAUUUCAGUCAGUCCAAUUCCUAAGGUGUCCACAGAAAUCACCACCACAAAUGGCAGUAACCUGAAACUCCGAUGGCAGCUUCAGCAGAUAGGUCAAGAACUAAUUGAAUGGAACAAAGUCUGAUCUACCCUGCAC